GUGCUCGCUUCGGCAGCACAUAUACUACACCUGGAACGGUAUACAGAAGAUUAGCAUGGCCCCUGCAGAAUGACAGGAAAUUCAUGAAGUGUUCCAUAUUUUU
ensembl:snRNA U6 U6 spliceosomal RNA